CCGUUUCGCCGAUAGCUCAGUUGGUAGAGCGGUGGACUGUGGAUCCAUAGGUCGCUGGUUCAAAUCUGGCUCGACGGA